AUGAGAACGCAAAUGCUGCGUUUUUCAGAUUCGGCAUCAUUCGCUCUGGUGCAAAGAACGUCAUUAAACGGGUGUGGUUCCCAAGAUCCUUCAGGAAGAACUUGGCACACGACACAUUGGUCAGCCUGGCGGAAGCGAACACAAGCUGUAAAUGUGCCACAUCUAAUAAAACAAAAGCCAUGUCUAAAAGUUCUCACAACACAAGUCUUUAGUUAGCACAUGUGCCUAAAUACAAUCAGUAAGACUUUGAAUCCACACUGACAACUGUCAGAUGAUAAAUCAUAUGUACGAAUAAAAUAUAGACUCAUUUGAACAAAUGUCCUAUUCAUCAAACAUUGGCAAAACAUAAAGCAAUGAAUUCUAUAAAUGUAAGACAACGUGUAUUUUUUUAAGUUUGUCGAUGCAUAUUCACUGUUGUAAUGACUCCAAAGUAACCUUUAUGGUGUCCAAAGAGGUUGUGAACUGAUAUCGUGUUUCUUCCCCCCACAAUAAAGCACAAGUGUUGAAUGUUAAAAGGGCAGUGCAGUUCAAAAUUAGAUUUUUUUUCUUCACAUUUCCACAUAGGUCAAAAUAACAUACUGAAAUUGUGAAAAUUAUGAUAACGCCCCUUUUGUGUAAGAGCUGUUAUUUUUUUUUAAUGCUGGAAUUUCAGCCUGUUCAGGUUGGAUGGAACUUUUGGCCCACAAAAUGACGUCACAAUGUGAUCUGAGUAUAAUAGACCAAUGACAGUUCAUCUGAUGUGGAUGGGCUCUAGACCAGCCUUUCAGGGCUGUGUAGGUAAAAAUCUUCCGAUUUGUGUCUGCCCUAACAGUGGGAGUUGUCGGAAAGGCAGGCGGGAGGGGGAAGAUCAGGUGGGAACAUUCUAGCCAACGAGAGGGCAGAUACACGUGUUCAAAACAAACAACUAUAUACAAUUUCAUUCACUUAUCACUAAAUUCGUAACAACCUAAACUUUAUGAAACUUCUAUUUGAUCUGCCCACUUGGUCUGCUUAUUACUGUAUUCUCAUGUGGACAAACUGACAGGAGUGGAGCCUCGCUUCGCCUGUUCUUCUUACCAGGGGUAGGCAACUAGAUUCAGCUGGAGGGUUUUUGGCGGAGCUGAUUGUCGGGGGGCCGGAUCAUAAUAAUUUUAAAUAAAGGUAAAGCUUUUACUAUAUUGCCUCUUAGAUCUCCAAGUGUCUAGGGCAGAGAUAUAAUAGUUUUACCCUACGAGGUCAGGACUACUGCUGGUUUUCUAUUCGACCUGAUAAUUAAUUGCACCCACAUGGUGUACCAGGUCUAAAUCAGUCCCUGAUUAGAGGGGAAUAAUUUUAAAAAGCAGCACUACUGGGUCUAGGGCACUCAAACUAAGCUCUGGACCUUCAAAGCCAGUUCCACAUAAUUUUUUUCAUUGUUCCCCUCUAAUCAGGGACUGAUUUUUGACCUGGGACACCAGGUGAGUGUAAUAAAUUAAGUACUAGCAGCCUCCAGACCCUGUAGGGCAGCAUUUCCCAAACUCUGUCCUAGGGCACCCAAGGGAAGUACGUUUUGGUUUUGCCCUACCACUACACAGCUGAUUAAAAUGAUCAACGCUUGAUGAUUAGUUGAUUAUUCGAAUCAGCUCUAGUGCUAGGGCAAAAACCAAAAUGUGCACCCCUUGGGGUCCAGAGGACCG
rnacentral:lncRNA from 8 species